rnacentral:lncRNA from 1 species
AACAACUUACCACUUUACCGUGCACAACCUUCUUCAAAACAUGCCUCCUUAAUUACUCAUCACUCGAUGUGGUUAAUGAUGGUGCUAUAAAUAGGGAGCGUGAGUUUAAUGUCUCAUUGUUAAGUUCUACUCAGCUUUGACUAUGUCCGAAGUCUUCAAGACCCACGUGCUAGUCAGCAAACUUGAGAAAGAAUCAACUAACCCGUG